rnacentral:tRNA from 1 species
GCAUCGGUGGUGUAAGGGAAAGCACGGCAGACCGGAUAUCUGUAAGUGCGGGUACGAGUCCCGCCUGAGGUU